UUCCUGACUCUCCUAACUUUUCAUCUGUUUGUUCAUAGGCCUGCUUUAAGGCUGUUCAAUUCUGCAAGAAAGGAAAAGAGGAGGAGGAGGAGACUGGCUCAAAUCUCUGGAGGACCCCCUGCAGUCGGCUGUGGGGCAUAACACCAUUUGAGCAAAGAAAGGAGAGGGAAAUUGCACCACAUCAGUGAAGAUCCACCUCCAGUGGCAGCUCUGGUGGUGCUGGAGUUGCUGCUGACCACCACCCUCAACAGGUCUGCACCCACCCAGGAACCAUCCAUCCUCCCCCAAGCUUGGUUGUGCCUCCUCUCCACUGUAUCUAUAUUAUUGACUGAGACUUUGCUUGGGUCAGAACCUGUUUGACUGCUAGAUUGGCAAUUUACUUUAAUUUUUGUUCCAGUGUUAUAGCCUAAAUUGCUGAAAGAUCUUAGUGUGAAGAUACCAUUCUUUGACAGAUCUGUGUCUAAGGCUGAGACUUGGAUAGUAUAUAACUG
rnacentral:lncRNA from 1 species